rnacentral:misc_RNA from 1 species
UAAUAAGUGUUUUAUGGCACUUUUUAAAUCCAUAUCCACCUUGUGUGCAAUGUCAGUCGAUCUUCUUCAUGGAGAUCGACCAAACAUCAACCUUUAUCUUUUAACUCUUUGUCUGAAAAAUAUUAUGAAUAAACCAAUUCAAAAUA